rnacentral:rRNA from 1 species
UACGAGAGGCCCAAACGUUAUUCGGAAUUACUGGGCUUAAAGAGUCCGUAGGCGGCGCAGAAAGUAGGGUGUGAAAGCCCUCGGCUUAACCGAGGAAUUGCGCUCUAAACUACUGUGCUUGAGGAACCUAGAGGUGAGCGGAACUGAUGGUGGAGCAGUGAAAUGCGUUGAUAUCAUCAGGAACACCGGAGGCGAAGGCGGCUCACUGGGGGUUAUCUGACGCUGAGGGACGAAAGCCAGGGGAGCGAACGGG